UACGUAGGGCGCAAGCGUUGUUCGGAAUCACUGGGCGUAAAGGGAGCGUAGGCGGCGCGGUAAGUCAGAUGUGAAAUCCCGGGGCUCAACCCCGGAACUGCAUCCGAUACUGCCGUGCUAGAGGAUUGGAGAGGUAGCUGGAAUACUUGGUGUAGCAGUGAAAUGCGUGGAGAUCAAGAGGAACACUCGUGGCGAAAGCGAGCUACUGGACAAUUCCUGACGCUGAGGCUCGAAGGCCAGGGUAGCGAAAGGG
rnacentral:rRNA from 1 species